CUUUUGAAAGUUGAUGUGUUAGGGGAAAGCGGCAUCGCUGACGAAAUUCCGCCAGCUUCGGCAGAGCAAUUUGGUCCGCCGCCUCGUCAGCCCCUGGGAUUGCCUCGACCAGAGAAUCGGCCCUCGUCCACGGACAAGCAGGACGCGAUCCCCUUCUUGACGGACUUCCUGUAUCCGGCGCCGAUGUUGGCCAUGUACCGAUCGACGGAGCUCAGAUUCAGAUCCUUGCCACAGGAACACAAAGGCGACGACUUUAUCAAUGAAAAGGCAGUAUUUCCAUCUAGAAGUCAAGAAAUUGGGCGAUCCAUGGGUGGAUUUCUGACGAAUGGAGGGGAGGCGAGGGAUUCGAACGCGGUCGCUGCUGGGGUUUGGGGUUUGGGGUUUGUUGAAGUCGCCGUGGAAAGCCAUUGAUUGAUUGAUGCGGGAGAUGACUGUUCGUCCAUAUGCAGCAGCUUUCAGAUAUUCCAGUAUCAUCCGCUUGAGGUUUGAUGAAGUAGGGAGAUCAACGCGAGCACGCGCACUAUGGCUCACCAGUGGCGAUGGUUUGGCCUGAUUUGAUGCAGGAAGGUGUGGAGAUCUUCGUCUAACUGGUGCUUGAAGGUAACCCUAAGCUAGCUUUCUUCUAGCAGAAAUACCUCAACCUUCCUCAUUACAUCCGCAGCAUAGUUGAUUUAUCGUUUAUCUCAUGCUCUCAUGCACAUAAACUAUUCGAGACAGUGGCACAAUGGGCAAAUUUAGUUUUUCUUAAAUGUCAAUUGAUACGCGAUGUUAUUGGCAGACCCGGGUAUGAUGUCAUAGUUAAAAUCAAGGUGACAUGACAGUCAAAAUCAAGAGACUUCUAGAUCUCAGUUUCUAACUUCAAAGGCAAGUCUUCGUCAUCUAGGCCAUCGACUUAGAGUACCGAUCGAAUCUCCCAGGACUCAAUUCGCCAUUUCUCAGAGAUAAGUAUCCCGGUAUAUGGCCGGUCAGUCAUAGAACUGAUCGGACUUAGGGGACUUAGCUUCAUAUUAUUUUCAAAACAGAUCUCCAACAUCACCUAGUGCAUAACCGAACAGCUUAAGGGAAUGGUGGUUAUACAGUCAGCCGGUCUAAAGAUCUGAUCGAGAUAUACUCAGCAAACAAUAUGGUCAGAAAAUUACAACAGCCUGUCAGAAUAACAACCGUUUGUCAGAGAAUAUUUCUUUAUUGUAAUAUGAGCAUUCACUGGAACCUUCUUCGAAGGUGACCUUACACUUUCCAUCAACUGACAUAUUAUGACAACAUAUUCCUUCAACCACCUCAUUAAUGACAUAAGCUACAAAAGAGGUGCACAUAUGAGUAACAGAAGAUUCCUCGGAUGGUGACAAUACAUCACCUAAGUUGUACGUCUUUCCUUAUCCAACAACCUCUAACACUCAACAUUCUCUGCCACCUUAUGAUUACGGAGGUUAUGAGAGGUGGUAUACAAAAGGGGACUUCUCCGUUGGCCAGACAUCGUACUGACUUGAGCAUUGGAGAAUCUACGCCGAGAACCCCUUCCUUGGUUUUGGCGCUGACGUUUUGUGGUCUCUUUGGUGUGCACAGAGGGGAAGAAGAAGAAGAAGAAGAAGAAGAAGCCCCUUUUGCCUCCUGUUAAUAGUCUUUUCUCAAUCAAUCGCAUGGCCACCUACCUAGCGCGUCAUCUCUACAGCUUUCAAACAGGAUCACCGAUGUUGUAGAUUGUCAAACUCUUUUACCCUAGAAUACAAGAUAUUUCUCUCUUUGCAUGCACAACUAGCAUCACUCAUACUCUGCCAUUUAAUCUUGACGGUGCUUGCAUUGCACAAUUUGUGGCUUUUCCGAGCAUUCGAAUGAUUGUUCUGGGUUAAAAUUCUCAGCUUGCUGCGUUAUGUCUGGAGUAUGAUUAAUUUACCGUUUGUUUCAUGCAUCCCUAGCCAAGUUUUUUGUUCUUUCAGUGCAAAUGAUGUAGAUUAUCAAUCACUUUGGAUGAAUCAAUUUGUUUUCCCUCUAAAAUUCAAGCUUCUUGUAGCUCUUUGUUGAUCAACCCAGCAAAAAUGUAGGGGCACAUUGCAACUUAACAAAUUUGAUCAAUCACCUGUGGUUCCUACUAAGCCUUUUAACUAGAUAUUUCUUAGUUUGCACUCUGCCAUUUGAUCGCAAUGUAGCUUGUAUUACACAACCUUGGUGUUUCUUUUCUCGCUCAUUGUCGGAGUAAAAAACUUAUCGAGGUAGCUUACGAGACAUAGAAGCUACUAGAUUUUGCUCUUUGUGAUACUACCAAUAUCUAGGGGCUAAGGGGACAAUGAACCAUGUCAUGUUUUUGCCUUACAUCUCCUUUUUGUUUAUUAGAGUUCUUGUGCAAAUCACUCUUCAACUCUUGUUUCCUACAAGUGUGGAUGAACAACAAUACACUGAAUGGUGACUCGACACUUGAGUAGUUGUUAAUCAGUAAGCUAUGCUAGGGGCCAUGUGAUUUUUGUUAUACAAUCUUCUACAAUGAAGAUUGUUUGUCGGAGAUUAUAGGAUAGUUGUUGAAUUGAUAUCAAAAUUCAACUUCCACUUAUUUGGCUUAAGCGAAUAAUCUCAGACUGCCAAGUGGGAAAGGAUGAAUUGCUUGGAUGCCUGCUGAGCUACCUUGUUUGGCCGAGUCCGAGUUGGUUGAGUUGUUGAGUCAUCCGAGUGCCGAGGCCGAGAUGUCUGAUAUCAAGAUGUCCGAGACUGAGAUGAGACCGAGACAGCCGAGACAACUGAGACAUCGAGACAGCCGAUGCUGAGGCCAAGUUGUCUGAGGCCUAGAUGUGACAUAGUUUUCUUAAAACAUAUUUGUUCUCCUCUGGUAGUGCUCUAAGAUUAUGAUAGACGUCUAUUUUCCAUGAUACAACAAGAAGACUAUGUCGACAACCAAGCAUUGGUUGUUUAAAGUGAACGAACUGUGUAGCAGACUGCUAUUACAAAAAUUCUGUCAAGCGAAAUGUACAAUAGAGAGAAAUUUUAGGGAAGAAGGUGGAAGAAUUUCUUUGCUAUUACUGCUAUAGUAUGUCUCUUUCUUCUUUGGUCAUAACCUCCUUAUAUAGGAGCUUAGAGAAGUAGUGUUCGUCCACUCAGAUAGGUCUAGUGGCUAGCGCAUGAGGUGUUGCCACAAUGAGGUCUGGGGUUCGAAUCUCGGCAAAGCCGAGGUAAAUACCUCCCUAUAUGUGCCAGUCACUAUUCCAAAGGCUAGUAGCCGCCCAUGAUUUACCUCCUCCGUGUUGGCCUUGGGACGGGUUGGCGGGGGCGCUGGGGGCGAGCGUAUUCACCUUUUGCCACAAUUAGAGAAGUAGUGUCCUCACAGAAUGGGCAUAUGGUCAUUGCAUGGGGCGUUGUCACCAAGAAGUCUAGAGGUCAAUUCCUACAAGUGAAAUGCAUGUCAGGUUCCUGCCCUUUCCAAUGCAAUGGUCAUUAUUCAAAAGAAAACAAAUUACCCAUGAUUUACCUCUAUAAAUGACUAUGAGAUCGGUCGUAUGGGGUGUCCGGGGUCAGCAUAUGACUUUUGCCACCAUCAAAGAAGAAGCAGCAAUUAAUGGCUGAUUAAUGGCCAUUUAUUGUCUUUAUUCAUCAAGAUCAAAACGUAAGCUGUCGACCACUAAUGGUCAGUUGUUGACACUCGAUCGGUUAUAAUUACACACUUAAACAGUCCGCAAAAUGAAUUCAGAUGGGAAAACAUUGAUUUAUUUGUUUUAGCAAAUCUUACCUCGAUCGUCUAGCAUUCGAUGCGAGCAAGUCAUCCUUGUACAUAAUUCAACUUGGUUCAAUGCAAUUCGGAUCCUGGAUUUGCACCCUCUCCGUGCCCACGCCCGAGAGAGAUCCUCUCCCCAUGCAUAUGUUCACAACAUGAAUACAUAUGAUAUAAUAUAAACUAACAAUAAAGUAAUGAGGCUCCCAAUGUGAGAUUAAAAGUCAUGCACAAAUAUGGGUGUAAAUGAAUCAAGCCGCUCGCGAGCUGUUAGGGUCUCGGUUCGAAAGAAGUUCGUUUGAUUAAAUUAAUUAGUCAAGCUUGAGCUUGAUUUCGAGCUCGAAAAAAUUAUCGAGCCGAGCUUAACAGUAUUUGGUUCAUGAGCCCAUAAAUGUAUUCAUUAAGAGGUUCGUGAACAUCGGAACGUGUUUGUUAAGAGGCUCACACACUUGUUUGUUAAGAGACUCAAUUUAAAUAUCACCUUCCAAACUCUAAAAGAGAAGUUAUAAAGACAAAAUUAAACUAAUGGCUGAGAUUGGUCUCCUCCAACUCUCUCAAUCCAAUGACUGAGAUUGUUUCAAGGAAAUAAAAGUCGUUCUCUGUAUAGUUUGCUAUUGUCAAACCCUAGCUUGCCCCAUACAUCGCCUCAUCGACGUCGUUGCCGCCAACCUUCGGAAGAUCAACAGACUCUCCUGAGAGACCAAUAGUCUGAUCUUCAAAUUGAAUCCCCAUUAAUCCGACACCGACAAUCCCUAAUCUCCAUUCUCUAAGCUCCUAUUUGUAGUAAUCUUUUUGCUUCCUUUACUUAUAUUUCAUUCUUCUUUCUACUUUUGUGGUUUGGAUGGCUUUUUUGCAUUGAUUGCUUGUAGAGCUCAAGUGUUUGACUGAUUGACUUUUUUCGGUUCAGAUCCAUUCUUUCAUUGACAUUUUUGUAUUUGAUUUUGAAUUGAAUUCUGUUGUAAUAUCAUUGCCAUUUUUUUGUAUUUGAUUUUGAAAGUGAAAUUGUUGUUAUUUUAACUAUGAACUGUGAACUUUGCUAAUCAUUCUGUCUUUUUAGUCACUCUCGGAUUUUAAACUUUUUAAACCCCAUUUUUUUAAUCUUUUUGCCCUUUUAUUGAUCCAAUUGUUUCAUAGUUGCCAACUAGUCAUAGAAUGCAUCAUUUUGUAUGUUAUCGGUUGCUUUAGAGUUCAAAGACGUUUUUCCUAGAUAUGCAAUGAGGGAUGUUGCUUAUACUUUUAUACCAAGUGAGGAGGAUUGGAAAAGGAUUAUUGUUGUUUGCUCAUUUCUUGAGGCAUUUAAUGAAGUAACUCAUCUCAUUUCGGGAAAUGAAUAUCCUACUUCUAACUUGUUCCUUACACAAUAAAGAAGUUGUUAAAUCAAGCAAGUGUGGGUGAAGGAAGUUUCGUGGCAAAAAUGACUAACAAGAUGAAGGCUAAAUUUGAUAAAAAUUGGGGUGGUAGCAACUUAUUGAUCUCUAUAGUAGCAGCGUUAGAUGCAAGGAACAAGAUGAAAUUAAUUGAAUGAUAUUUUCCGGAGAUCUAUUCAGCUAGUGAUGAGCACAUGUUGAAAUUGAUUUAGACUGUUCGUGCAAUUGAGCACAUGUUGUACAAUGAGUAUGUUCAAAGAAGCUUGUUUUAGACUGUUGCAUGAGGUGAAAUGCAACAUUUUGUAUGUUAUCAGCUGCUUUAGAGUUUCAAGACAUUUUUUCCUAGAUAUACAACAAAGUAUGCAGCUUAAAUUUUUUUGCCAAGUGAGGAGAAUUGGAAAAAGUUAGUGUUGUUUAUUCAUUUCUUGAGGAAUUUAAUGAAGUAACUCAUCUCAUUUCGGGAAGUAUCUUACUUGUAACUUAUUCUUUAUUGAACUUUACACUAUAAAGAAGUUAAAUCAAGCAAGUGUGGAUGAAUGAAGUUUGAUGGCAAAAAUGGCUAACAAGAUGAAGACUAAAUUUGAUAAAUAUUAGGGUUAUUGCAACUUAUUGAUCUCUAUAGCAGUAGUGCUAUAUCUAAGGAACAAGAUGAAAUUGAUUGAAUGGUGCUUUCGGGAGGUUAUGCAAUUGAGCACAUUUCUACGGUUUGUGACAGAUUACACAUGUUGUACAAUGAGUAUGUUGAAGCUCAUAAAGCUAGUGUUGGAGGUGAAACUUACAUAAAGAUCUAUUGGUCGGUAUUUAAAUGGAAGAGGAAAAGGUAAAGAAUUUUCUAGUUACAUUAAGAAUGUCAACCGUAUUGAGCAAGUGGAUGAAGGUUGUGUUAUUUGUGAAAUUGACUUUAAUGCAGUGUCAUGGUGGAGAAUUAACAACUUAAAGUUUGGGAUGUAGGUUUGGGUUGUCCGACUAGGGGGGGGCGGGUGAAUAGCGAGGACAACACGUUAAUUAAAUAAAAUGUAAUUAACAUAGAAAAACAAAGUAAGAAAGGACUCCGAAUUUACUUGGUUUAUAAUCAGGGAGGUUGCUAAUCCAAGACGAUGAAGACUUCACUAAGAUCUCCAUUGAAGAAGGUGGAGUAGCCUCUUACAAAUGUUGAAAGCUCAGAAUGAAGUACAGAAAAUGAAUUACAAUGUGUUGUACUGAAGUUUGAGCAUCAGAACUCUAUUUAUAGUUUACUGGUCUCCAUAUUGAUUCUCUUCGAUAAUGGCUAUGCUGACGUAGCCGCACUUCCCAGGUGCCUAGAAAGGAUACAGGCGCCUAGAGUCCAGACACCUAGACUCGGUCUAGGCGUCUGGAAAUGGUCAACUCAGAAGUUGACCAUUUUCUCGUCUGGUCGCUUGGGUGAUACUUGUAAGGGAUCGGCGGCCGGCUAGAAGGGGGGUUAGAUAGCUAGGUCACCCCCAACUUCUUUUCUUCUCUACAAAAGAUUAGUGCAUACGCGGAAAUACAACUAACUAAUGAAAAUAAUAAAGAAAGAAUAUC